rnacentral:tRNA from 1 species
UGCCGGACAGGUCGCGGGCAUAGGCUUCGGUCUUGUCGGGAUCGAUGGCCAGCCGGGCCAGCCAUGCGAUCUUAUUCACAUUUUCGGAAG